rnacentral:rRNA from 1 species
GGUUAAGCGACUAAGCGUACACGGUGGAUGCCCUGGCAGUCAGAGGCGAUGAAGGACGUGCUAAUCUGCGAUAAGCGUCGGUAAGGUGAUAUGAACCGUUAUAACCGGCGAUUUCCGAAUGGGGAAACCCAGUGUGUUUCGACACACUAUCAUUAACUGAAUCCAUAGGUUAAUGAGGCGAACCGGGGGAACUGAAACAUCUAAGUACCCCGAGGAAAAGAAAUCAACCGAGAUUCCCCCAGUAGCGGCGAGCGAACGGGGAGCAGCCCAGAGCCUGAAUCAGUGUGUGUGUUAGUGGAAGCGUCUGGAAAGGCGCGCGAUACAGGGUGACAGCCCCGUACACAAAAAUGCACAUGCUGUGAGCUCGAUGAGUAGGGCGGGACACGUGGUAUCCUGUCUGAAUAUGGGGGGACCAUCCUCCAAGGCUAAAUACUCCUGACUGACCGAUAGUGAACCAGUACCGUGAGGGAAAGGCGAAAAGAACCCCGGCGAGGGGAGUGAAAAAGAACCUGAAACCGUGUACGUACAAGCAGUGGGAGCACGCUUAGGCGUGUGACUGCGUACCUUUUGUAUAAUGGGUCAGCGACUUAUAUUCUGUAGCAAGGUUAACCGAAUAGGGGAGCCGAAGGGAAACCGAGUCUUAACUGGGCGUUAAGUUGCAGGGUAUAGACCCGAAACCCGGUGAUCUAGCCAUGGGCAGGUUGAAGGUUGGGUAACACUAACUGGAGGACCGAACCGACUAAUGUUGAAAAAUUAGCGGAUGACUUGUGGCUGGGGGUGAAAGGCCAAUCAAACCGGGAGAUAGCUGGUUCUCCCCGAAAGCUAUUUAGGUAGCGCCUCGUGAAUUCAUCUCCGGGGGUAGAGCACUGUUUCGGCAAGGGGGUCAUCCCGACUUACCAACCCGAUGCAAACUGCGAAUACCGGAGAAUGUUAUCACGGGAGACACACGGCGGGUGCUAACGUCCGUCGUGAAGAGGGAAACAACCCAGACCGCCAGCUAAGGUCCCAAAGUCAUGGUUAAGUGGGAAACGAUGUGGGAAGGCCCAGACAGCCAGGAUGUUGGCUUAGAAGCAGCCAUCAUUUAAAGAAAGCGUAAUAGCUCACUGGUCGAGUCGGCCUGCGCGGAAGAUGUAACGGGGCUAAACCAUGCACCGAAGCUGCGGCAGCGACGCUUAUGCGUUGUUGGGUAGGGGAGCGUUCUGUAAGCCUGCGAAGGUGUGCUGUGAGGCAUGCUGGAGGUAUCAGAAGUGCGAAUGCUGACAUAAGUAACGAUAAAGCGGGUGAAAAGCCCGCUCGCCGGAAGACCAAGGGUUCCUGUCCAACGUUAAUCGGGGCAGGGUGAGUCGACCCCUAAGGCGAGGCCGAAAGGCGUAGUCGAUGGGAAACAGGUUAAUAUUCCUGUACUUGGUGUUACUGCGAAGGGGGGACGGAGAAGGCUAUGUUGGCCGGGCGACGGUUGUCCCGGUUUAAGCGUGUAGGCUGGUUUUCCAGGCAAAUCCGGAAAAUCAAGGCUGAGGCGUGAUGACGAGGCACUACGGUGCUGAAGCAACAAAUGCCCUGCUUCCAGGAAAAGCCUCUAAGCAUCAGGUAACAUCAAAUCGUACCCCAAACCGACACAGGUGGUCAGGUAGAGAAUACCAAGGCGCUUGAGAGAACUCGGGUGAAGGAACUAGGCAAAAUGGUGCCGUAACUUCGGGAGAAGGCACGCUGAUAUGUAGGUGAGGUCCCUCGCGGAUGGAGCUGAAAUCAGUCGAAGAUACCAGCUGGCUGCAACUGUUUAUUAAAAACACAGCACUGUGCAAACACGAAAGUGGACGUAUACGGUGUGACGCCUGCCCGGUGCCGGAAGGUUAAUUGAUGGGGUCAGCGCAAGCGAAGCUCUUGAUCGAAGCCCCGGUAAACGGCGGCCGUAACUAUAACGGUCCUAAGGUAGCGAAAUUCCUUGUCGGGUAAGUUCCGACCUGCACGAAUGGCGUAAUGAUGGCCAGGCUGUCUCCACCCGAGACUCAGUGAAAUUGAACUCGCUGUGAAGAUGCAGUGUACCCGCGGCAAGACGGAAAGACCCCGUGAACCUUUACUAUAGCUUGACACUGAACAUUGAGCCUUGAUGUGUAGGAUAGGUGGGAGGCUUAGAAGUGUGGACGCCAGUCUGCAUGGAGCCGACCUUGAAAUACCACCCUUUAAUGUUUGAUGUUCUAACGUUGACCCGUGAUCCGGGUUGCGGACAGUGUCUGGUGGGUAGUUUGACUGGGGCGGUCUCCUCCUAAAGAGUAACGGAGGAGCACGAAGGUUGGCUAAUCCUGGUCGGACAUCAGGAGGUUAGUGCAAUGGCAUAAGCCAGCUUGACUGCGAGCGUGACGGCGCGAGCAGGUGCGAAAGCAGGUCAUAGUGAUCCGGUGGUUCUGAAUGGAAGGGCCAUCGCUCAACGGAUAAAAGGUACUCCGGGGAUAACAGGCUGAUACCGCCCAAGAGUUCAUAUCGACGGCGGUGUUUGGCACCUCGAUGUCGGCUCAUCACAUCCUGGGGCUGAAGUAGGUCCCAAGGGUAUGGCUGUUCGCCAUUUAAAGUGGUACGCGAGCUGGGUUUAGAACGUCGUGAGACAGUUCGGUCCCUAUCUGCCGUGGGCGCUGGAGAACUGAGGGGGGCUGCUCCUAGUACGAGAGGACCGGAGUGGACGCAUCACUGGUGUUCGGGUUGUCAUGCCAAUGGCACUGCCCGGUAGCUAAAUGCGGAAGAGAUAAGUGCUGAAAGCAUCUAAGCACGAAACUUGCCCCGAGAUGAGUUCUCCCUGACCCUUUAAGGGUCCUGAAGGAACGUUGAAGACGACGACGUUGAUAGGCCGGGUGUGUAAGCGCAGCGAUGCGUUGAGCUAACCGGUACUAAUGAACCGUGAGGCUUAACCUU